CGUGGAGAACCUGCCGUAUACUGGGGGAGUAACACUUAGAAAUAGGUGCUAAUACCGCAUAAGCGCACAGCUUCGCAUGAAGCAGUGUGGAAAACAAAAAGCUAAAGCUUUUGGUGGUAUACGAUGGAUCCGCGUCUGAUUAGCUAGUUGGCGGGGUAAAGGCCCACCAAGGCGACGAUCAGUAGCCGGCCUGAGAGGGUGAACGGCCACAUUGGGACUGAGACACGGCCCAAACUCCUACGGGAGGCAGCAG
rnacentral:rRNA from 1 species